GGUUUGAUCAUGCUCAGUUGAACGCUGGCGGGAUGCUUUACAUGGGGUCGAACGGCAGCACGGACUUCGGUCUGGUGGCGAGUGGCAGACGGUGCGGGUAAUGUAUCGGAACGUGCCUAGUGGCGGGGGAUAACUACGCGAAAGCGUAGCUAAUACCGCAUACGCCCUUCGGGGAAAGCGGGGACCUUCCGGGCCUCGCACUAUUAGAGCGGCCGAUAUCGGAUUAGCUAGUUGGUGGGGGUAACGGCUCUGGGCGACCGAUCCUUGGCCCUGGUUUAGAGAGGACGACCAGCCGCACUGGGACUGAGACGGCCCAGACUCCUACGGGAGGCAGCAGUGGGGAAUUUUGGACAAUGAGGGGAAACCUGAUCAGCCAUCCCGCGUGUGCGAUGAAGGCCUUCGGGUUGUAAAGCACUUUUGGCAGGAAAGAAACGGCGCAAGGAUGUACACGUGCAUGACGGUACCUGCAGAAUAGCGCCAGCUAACCAUUGCAAGCAGCCGCAGUAAUACGUAAGGUGCAAGCGUUAAUCGGAAUUACUGGGCGUAAAGCGUGCGCAGGCGGUUCGGAAGAAAGAUGUGAAAUCCCAGAGCUUAACUGGAACUGCAUUUUUAACUACCGAGCUAGAGUGUGUCAGAGAAGUGGAAUUCGCGUGUAGCAGUGAAAUGCGUAGAUAUGGAGGAACACCGAUGGCGAAGGCAUUACUCUGGGAUAACACUGACGCUCAUGCACAGCGUGGGAGCAAACAGGAUUAGAUACCCUGGUAGUCCACGCCUAAACGAUGUCAACUAGCUGUUGGGGCCUUCGGACCUUGUUAGCGCAACUAACGCGUGAAGUUGACCGCCUGGGAGAGUACGGUCGCAAGAUUAAAACUCAAAGGAAUUGACGGGGACCCGCACAAGCGGUGGAUGAUGUGGAUUAAUUCGAUGCAACGCGAAAAACCUUACCUACCCUUGACAUGUCUGGAAUCCCGAAGAGAUUUGGGAGUGCUCGCAAGAGAACCGGAACACAGGUGCUGCAUGGCUGUCGUCAGCUCGUGUCGUGAGAUGUUGAGUUAAAGUCCGCAACGAGGGCACCAACCCUUGUCAUUAGUUGCUACGAAAGGGCACUCUAAUGAGACUGCCGGUGACAAACCGGAGGAAGGUGGGGAUGACGUCAAGGUCCUCAUGGCCCUUAUGGGUAGGGCCUGCCCAUCAUACAAUGAUUAGGACGGAGGAUUGUAUGCGAGGAGCCAAUCCCGACCCGAUCGUAGUCCGGAUCACAUGAUCUGCAACUCGACUGCGUGAAGUCGGAAUCGCUAGUAAUCGCGGAUCAGCAUGUCACUUGGUGGAAUACGCGUUCCGGGUCUUGCUUCACACACCGCCCGUCACACCAUGGGAGUGGGUUUUGCCAGAAGUAGUUAGCCUAACCGUAAGGAGGGCGAUUACCACGGUAGGAUUCAUGACUGGGGUGAAGUCGUAACAAGGUAG
rnacentral:rRNA from 1 species